rnacentral:rRNA from 1 species
AUACGUAGGUGACAAGCGUUAUCCGGAUUUACUGGGCGUAAAGGGCGUGUAGGCGGUCUUGCAAGUCAGAAGUGAAAUUCCUGAGCUCAACUCGGGCGCUGCUUCUGAAACUGCAGGACUUGAGUGCUGGAGGGGAUAGCGGAAUUCCUAGUGGAGCGGUAAAAUGCGCAGAUAUUAGGAAGAACACCGGUGGCGAAGGCGGCUAUCUGGACAGUAACUGACGCGGAGGCGCGAAAGCGUGGGGAGCAAACAGGAUUAGAUACCCGGGUAGUCCACGCCGUAAACGAUGAAUACUAGGUGUAGGGGGUAUCGACUCCCUCUGUGCCGCAGUUAACACAAUAAGUAUUCCGCCUGGGGAGUACGGCCGCAAGGUUGAAACUCAAAGGAAUUGACGGG